AUUGAACGCUGGCGGCAGGCCUAACACAUGCAAGUCGAGCGGAUGAAGGGAGCUUGCUCCUGGAUUCAGCGGCGGACGGGUGAGUAAUGCCUAGGAAUCUGCCUGGUAGUGGGGGAUAACGUCCGGAAACGGGCGCUAAUACCGCAUACGUCCUGAGGGAGAAAGUGGGGGAUCUUCGGACCUCACGCUAUCAGAUGAGCCUAGGUCGGAUUAGCUAGUUGGUGGGGUAAAGGCCUACCAAGGCGACGAUCCGUAACUGGUCUGAGAGGAUGAUCAGUCACACUGGAACUGAGACACGGUCCAGACUCCUACGGGAGGCAGCAGUGGGGAAUAUUGGACAAUGGGCGAAAGCCUGAUCCAGCCAUGCCGCGUGUGUGAAGAAGGUCUUCGGAUUGUAAAGCACGUUAAGCUGGGAGGAAGGGCAGUAAGUUAAUACCUUGCUGUUUUGACGUUACCAACAGAAUAAGCACCGGCUAACUUCGUG
rnacentral:rRNA from 1 species